ACGACGCUGGCGGCGUGCCUAAUACAUGCAAGUCGAGCAGAACAGAAGGGAGCUUGCUCCCGGAUGUUAGCGGCGGACGGGUGAGUAACACGUGGGUAACCUGCCUGUAAGACUGGGAUAACUCCGGGAAACCGGAGCUAAUACCGGAUAGUUCCUUGAACCGCAUGGUUCAAGGAUGAAAGACGGUUUCGGCUGUCACUUACAGAUGGACCCGCGGCGCAUUAGCUAGUUGGUGGGGUAAUGGCUCACCAAGGCGACGAUGCGUAGCCGACCUGAGAGGGUGAUCGGCCACACUGGGACUGAGACACGGCCCAGACUCCUACGGGAGGCAGCAGUAGGGAAUCUUCCGCAAUGGACGAAAGUCUGACGGAGC
rnacentral:rRNA from 1 species